rnacentral:rRNA from 1 species
UACGUAGGGUGCGAGCGUUAAUCGGAAUUACUGGGCGUAAAGCGUGCGCAGGCGGUUCGCCAAGUCAGGUGUGAAAUCCCCGGGCUUAACCUGGGAAUUGCGCUUGAAACUAGCGGGCUUGAGUGUGGCAGAGGGGGGUGGAAUUCCACGUGUAGCAGUGAAAUGCGUAGAGAUGUGGAGGAACACCGAUGGCGAAGGCAGCCCCCUGGGUCAACACUGACGCUCAUGCACGAAAGCGUGGGGAGCAAACGGG